AUGGUAAAUUUUGUAGCUUUUUAUAGUUGUGGUGCAGGGCUGCAUGCUACAUUUGUGACUGAGAGGGCAACGCCAUGGAGGCUGAGGAGGAGACCAGAGAGGCACGACAUCGAGGUGGAGGGAGCCAUGAUCGCCGGUAUUGACAACAUGGUCACUUUAUCUGAUUGGUUGGCUUGGUCACUCUCUCGCUUCUCCAAUCGUGCCCCCGAUGGCAUGGGAGACGAUAUGAACUACAAGGUUUCAUCUGGACAAGGGAGGCGAUUUGGAAGUGUCGUAGACGAUGUUGUAGGUGCUAGGGUUCGGCUUUGCUUGCACUUAGAAAUCUUUUUCAUACAUUGGACUAAGAUCAAAUGCCAAUCAUGCAUGACCAUAGUUGGGUAG
rnacentral:rRNA from 1 species